rnacentral:rRNA from 1 species
AACGAACGCUGGCGGCAUGCCUAACACAUGCAAGUCGAACGAGACCUUCGGGACUGGUGGCGCACAGGUGCGUAAAGCGUGGGAACCUGCCGUUAGACUCGGAAUUAUACUCCGACGGGGGUGCUAAUACCGGGAAACGUCCUCGGAUAACAGAUUGAUCGCCUUUGGGUAAGCACGCGUUGGUUUAGCUUGUUGGUAGGGUAAAAGCCUAUCAAGGAGACGAUACAUAGCUGGGCUGAGAGGAUGAUCAGCCACACUGGGACUGAGACACGGCCCAGACUCCUACGGGAGGCAGCAGAGGGGAAUACUGGACAAUGGGCGAAAGCCAGAUCCAGCAAUGCCUCGUGAGUGAUGAAGGCCUGAGAGUAAUAAAGCUCGUUUACCCGGGAUGGUAAUGACAGUACCCGAAGAAUAAGCUCCGGCUAACUCCGUG